UACGUAGGGGGCAAGCGUUGUCCGGAAUCAUUGGGCGUAAAGAGCGUGUAGGCGGCCCGGUAAGUCCGCUGUGAAAGUCCAGGGCUCAACCCUGGGAUGCCGGUGGAAACUGUCGGGCUGGAGUCCGGAAGAGGCGAGUGGAAUUCCUGGUGUAGCGGUGAAAUGCGCAGAUAUCAGGAGGAACACCAAUGGCGAAGGCAGCUCGCUGGGACGGUACUGACGCUGAGACGCGAAAGCGUGGGGAGCAAACAGG
rnacentral:rRNA from 1 species